ensembl:lncRNA
GAGGAGAAAUAAGAGACUGCUGAUGAGUUGCAUGGAAAGGUCAGAAUUGACAGCAACUGUAAAGAAGAACAAAACAGCUUUAAAACCUCAUCCCUUUCUGAUGAUAAAUAAAAAGCAUCAUCUCAAUUAUUUUGCUCUUCCGAGGACCAGUUUCAAGUGAAGAUUUUUUUUUUUUAUUCCAUGCAGUUUCUUGUCUGAAAACAAAUCAUAUUGACAGGAGGAAGUGUCCUUCCCUUGGGUGGACUGAGUGAAUUCUGAGCACCCAGGGCUGUGGAUAGCCCUGCUCCAGGACAGCCCUGCUCCAGGAUAGCCCUGCUCCAGGAAAGUUUUGCUCCAGUCUACCUGAGCCAGCACAGGAUUCUCUCACCUGCUGGGUGCAGGUCUGGCCUGACUCUUUGGAUCCAUCAGGAAGAGAAGCCAAAAGCCCCACAAUCAAAAUUCAGCUUUUAUGGAGCAAGGAGAUUAUCCCCGAGAGAAAAACCCCUGCUGGUGCUACAGGUGCAAACGCCAUCUCCAAAUGAUGAACCACGGAGAGGAGAGCGAGCACAGGGAACUGCUGAGCUUUGACAGCAGAUGUGACCCCUGAGCCCACAACAAUGAGCUGCCAGCCUGUCCUCUGUCGCUGGGGUGUGACUGGGACCGUUCAGCAGCCCCGGGGUUCCCAGGGACCCAUCCCACCCCUGUGAGGGAGGAGAAGCACUGGGGCUCCUGUGCAAAUCCACAUUUCACGGCAGAGCCCUGGAACCAGGAGCCUUCAGCACUCACAUCAAUCAUCAGUGGUUAUGAGCUGGCUGGAUCGCUUUCAAUAUAUGGAUGUACGAAUUUACUGAUUUUGGAAGGGAUGCCGAACUGCCCUGCUCACUGCGAGGGGCUGGCCCUCCCUCCGAUGCUUUCCAUGCGCUGGGCAGGUGAGGAGACUUUCCCUGAGUUACAGAAGGAAAAGGCUCCCCUCUCGUGGCUGCGAGGGAAAACGGCACUUUCUGCACAAAACUGCCUUCUGCACUUCCCGGGCUGCGGGGAAACACAAAUCUAUCCAGAACACCUGAAAAUGGGAUGGGAAUGGAACGGACUCAGAGCCAGAGCAGGAGCAGAGGAGCUCCCAGCCCUGGUGUGAGUGCAGUCUCUCAGAGCUGGUGGGAACCUGGCUUUUC